UGGGGAAUAUUGCACAAUGGAGGGAACUCUGAUGCAGCAACGCCGCGUGCGGGAUGACGGCCUUCGGGUUGUAAACCGCUUUCAGCCAUGACGAAGCUUUUGUGACGGUAGUGGUAGAAGAAGCACCGGCUAACUACGUGCCAGCAGCCGCGGUGAUACGUAGGGUGCGAGCGUUGUCCGGAAUUAUUGGGCGUAAAGAGCUUGUAGGCGGUUUGUCGCGUCGAUAGUGUAAACACGCAGCUUAACUGUGUGCCUGCUGUCGAUACGGGCUGAAUAGAGGAGGGUAGGGGAGAAUGGAAUUCCCGGUGGAGCGGUGGAAUGCGCAGAUAUCGGGGGGAAAACCAGUGGCGAAGGCGGUUCUCUGGACCUUUCCUGACGCUGAGAAGCGAAAGCGUGGGUAGCAAACAGG
rnacentral:rRNA from 1 species